rnacentral:rRNA from 1 species
UACGUAGGGAGCAAGCGUUGUUCGGAUUUACUGGGCGUAAAGGGCGCGUAGGCGGCAUAUUAAGUCAUCUGUGAAAUCUCCGAGCUUAACUCGGAACUGUCAGCUGAUACUGAUGUGCUAGAGUGCGGAAGGGGCAAUCGGAAUUCUUGGUGUAGACGGUGAAUGCGUAGAUAAUCAAGAGGAACACUGAGGUGAAGACGGGUUGCCUGGGCCGACACGUGACGCUGGAGUGCGCGGAAAGCCAGGGGA